CCGAUGGCGACCGGCGCACGGGUGAGUAACACGUAUCCAACCUGCCGAUAACUCGGGGAUAGCCUUUCGAAAGAAAGAUUAAUACCCGAUGGCAUAAUAGAACCGCAUGGUUUGAUUAUUAAAGAAUUUCGGUUAUCGAUGGGGAUGCGUUCCAUUAGGCAGUUGGUGGGGUAACGGCCCACCAAGACUACGAUGGAUAGGGGUUCUGAGAGGAAGGUCCCCCACAUUGGAACUGAGACACGGUCCAA
rnacentral:rRNA from 1 species